ACGCGCCCUGAGAGGGGACGAGGGAGCCUUUCCCUUUUCAGCUGGGGACCUCGACCGGGAUCCUGGAAGUGUCAUUAAAGGAUACAUUAUUGGUAACUUCUGGAAUGGAGCAAACACCGCUAUGGCCUGUGCAAGAUCAGAAUGUGGUUUCAUUCAUUCAUAUCAGAAUCGUAUUAACCAGGCUAACCAAACUAAGGACAGCGUUAUCAGAUUGAGAUGCUGGCAGCUUUUCUCAGGUCACACAAUCACAAAACAAUGGAUGAGGAUUACAACAAAUCAGCAGCUGGCUUUGUAGAAGACCUGGAAAGUCGUAUCUGCAUAUGUUAUAUGUAAAUUUCAUGUCAGCUCCAAAAGAGAAUUUCAAUAACUUGCCUAAGGUACCAGAAAAAGUAAGCAAACGAUCUUGAAUUUAAACUUAGAAGAGCCUAACUACAACUUGUGUCAAUAUUCUUCUUCCUGGACCACAACAGUUUUUCUGUUAUUUGAUACUUUGCUGCUCUCAACAUAAAUGUCUUUGGAUGGUGGCAAAGUUAUUGCCCUUAUGAGAGGUGUUUUAUGAAUAAUUUUGAAAAUACACAUAAAAAUGUAUUUUGAAAACAUAUAUUAAUGCUUUCUCUUUGGGUUUAUAUAAAAACAAAAUAAAUGAAAAGAAGUUUCAUGGAGGUGGCAGUAUGUUUUUUAGUCCCCAAUAUACUGUUGCUCUCAGGACAAAGUAAGGUUUUAAAAAUAUGUCCUUGAUAGUUUUAAAUAUUUUAAAAAUUAAAAUACAUUUUAAAAUCUUAACUGCAUAUUGUACUUUGAAGGUUUCUGCUAUUUGAAAGAUAAUGCAGCCUUGUCCUUCAGGAAUGUCCUACAAAAUGCAUUUUCAAAAAUUUUCUCUUUUUUCCAAGAACAUUGUUCACAAUUACCUGGCAAACAUUGAAGUCUGUCCUUCAGUUGCCUUUUAAAACAUUAAUUUUCAUCUUAUGAAUAAGUCUUUAAUGUACUUCACAAUUAAUUCUGAUCUUUACUGCUGUAUAGCUUUAAAUUUAUUUCACUGAAUAAAUCUUUCAUGUAUUUUAAUUCCAAAUUAUGGAUAAGUAUACUGUUGCUUCAUUACAUUCCACAACAUUCCCAUUUAAAUCCCAUAUUAUUAAUCAAGACAUCAAUUUCCUUACAAGUUCUUAGUAAGUAGAGCAUUUCUGUACUGAAUGAAGGUAUUUACUUCCUGUAUAUUGUUUUCAAAGAUCAAUUGUUAUUAAAUUUGUAUUGUAACUGACAUGCUGAAAUAUACAAAUAUUCAUAUGAAAAAUAAUUUAUAACAGUAAAAUAAUGUGCUAAAACAAUGGACAAAAUAUGAGUAUAUAUAGUAUCUCACGAAUAAUAAAAAAUAGUGCUAAUACUGUU